rnacentral:rRNA from 1 species
GCGUGCGGGAAGAAGGCCUUCGGGUUGUAAACCGCUUUUGUCAGGAAAGAAAUCCUUCGGGAUAACACCUCGAGGGGAUGACGGUACCUGAAGAAUAAGCACCGGCUAACUACGUGCCAGCAGCCGCGGUAAUACGUAGGGUGCGAGCGUUAAUCGGAAUUACUGGGCGUAAAGCGUGCGCAGGCGGUUGUGCAAGACAGGUGUGAAAUCCCCGGGCUUAACCUGGGAACUGCAUUUGUGACUGCACGGCUAGAGUACGGUAGAGGGGGAUGGAAUUCCGCGUGUAGCAGUGAAAUGCGU